UCGCUUCGGGAUGGGCCCGCGGUCCAUCAGCUAGUUGGUAGGGUAAUGGCCUACCAAGGCGACGACGGAUAGCCGGCCUGAGAGGGCGAUCGGCCACAGGGGCACUGAGACACGGGCCCC
rnacentral:rRNA from 1 species